rnacentral:rRNA from 1 species
UACGUAGGGGGCAAGCGUUGUCCGGAAUCAUUGGGCGUAAAGCGCACGUAGGCGGACUACUAAGUCAGGGGUGAAAUCCCGGGGCUCAACCCCGGAACUGCCUUUGAUACUGAUAGUCUCGAGUCCGGAAGAGGUGAGUGGAAUUCCGAGUGUAGAGGUGAAAUUCGUAGAUAUUCGGAGGAACACCAGUGGCGAAGGCGGCUCACUGGUCCGGUACUGACGCUGAGGUGCGAAAGCGUGGGGAGCAAACAGG